UUUUGCUUUUUCUUCCUUCUCCACGAAGUGGGUACGUAGUAGGGAGGGCGGCCGCCCUUCCUUCCCUCAGUGCCUACAGCUGGCUCGUGUUGUCGCACUCGCAGCUGAUGCCCCUCGGCCGAUCAUGCAUUGCUGAUCACCAUUCAAGAGUCGCUGUCCAUUAUGAAGAGCUCCUGAGAAACCCGGCUCUGCCCUCCGCUAAUCUCACCCCUCCGAGCUGUGUGCCCCACGAUGGGACGGGGCGGUCCGGACGGUGCGGUGCUGCCCGGCUGCGGGUGAGCGGUGCCCGGACGCUCCUCGUCCUCGGAGACGGUGUCAGCUCUCCGGGUUUGACGUUUUGAUAACCGAAAUGGGAUGAGGGCGAAGAAAGGAAAAUUUCCGAGUAUACCGCCGUGUUUGGAAAUAGAUUGACUGCCUGGGAUUUAUCUUUCUCUUAUUACACAAACCAGCCUCUUCCAUUGCACAGCUGGCCUGAAAAUCCCUGAAUUUUUGGGAAAGUAACUCAGUUGUUGGUUCCCUUUGCUUCUGCCUGCCUGUUGGUGAAGUUUACUACUGGCAGUUAACAAUUGCUUGCAUGCCAUUUGUCUGAUACCAAAAAAGCUUAGAUUGAAGGCAAUGCAGCUGCUUUCAAACUUCCAAGGUUGCUCAGUCUUUCACUGCUUUCUACAUGAGAAGCUUUUAUUUCUAUUUGUUAGGAGGGCCACAACCCACUGUGGGGCCAGCCCUCUACAAAUAGGGCUGUGAUGCACCUGAACUGUGGUGGUGAAGGGGUACAUUUGAAAGCUUCACCUGGUGCCAUUUCCUUCUGACUGCCUCGUGACUGAUUUAUCUGAGCAUACAGCUGUGCUUAUUUGUAGCCUUUUAUAGACACCUUUGUAUUGCCUAUGAUUAUUUUUGCUAUCACGGAAUCGGAUCUCAAGAAACUUAAAUUGGUGGGAUAUGUUGUUAAUUCUUGGGUUUUAACACUUCUGUGCUCACUGACAACAGUGCCAGUGGCUGUUAUUCUGAAAAGCUGUGACUCAGCAGAGUCAGAUGUUUUGUUCUGAAGUCCUUAAUAGUAAUAUUUCAUUAGGCUUUCCUAAGCCAACCAGAAAUGUUUUGUUUCUGGGUACCUCGGCUAUUAAGCAUCACUUCUUGUGUCACUGUCCUUGUGCUUCAGAUAUGGGGGAAUGGGCACAGCCAGGCAGGAACAGGGCUUGGAUUUACCCACAUCUUUUAAAUUACAGCAGUUAAGACUAAUCAGAGAAAUGCACCUCAGUGUACGCCCGGUGCCUGAGCAGAGCAUGUUGCAUUUUCUAAACGUCAUUUUGUUUUAGGGCUCUAGUUGUAUUAA
ensembl:lncRNA